GCAGUUAUUGAUGGAGCGGUUGUUGCGGGCUUCGUCGGAAGUGAGACACGUGGUGGCGAAAACGCCCGGGAAUUUGUUGGCGAAUAUCCCGACUCCGACGCCCGUUCCGCAAGCAAGGAGGCCACGGGUUUCGACAUCGGGCGAGGCGGUGGUACAUGAUGAGACCCGACGGCCGACUUCGGCGCCGACGUUGUAAUAGGAGGUGGUACCGAGGUCUUCGACUUCGAUGCUGAGGGAUUGGAGGUGGGAUACCAUCGCGUCUUUCAGCUCGGCGCCGAAGGAGUCCGCUCCCGCGAUGAUCUUGAGGGGGCGAGGUGCGGUGGCGGUGGCUGUGGCUGCAGCGGGAUCGGCCAUGGUACGGACGUAGGGGAGUAACU
rnacentral:lncRNA from 1 species